AGCAUCUCCCCACAUCCUGCUAAUGGCAGUGCCUCCCCCAGGUCACCAAAGACCACAAUAAAUUAUUAUUAAUUACAACAGGACCAACAGUGGUGACAGUGGGCCCCAGUGUAGGGGCAGCCACCCUCGGUGGCCGUAGGAGGUGCCCAGCUGCCCACCACGAAGGGCUUCCCCAAGGCUUCACACCACACACCCCUCCAGAGAUACGGUUCCCACACAAAAUACAGCCGCCUCCAGAGCAGCUGUCCUGCAGCUGCUGUCACCCAGAAAUUUCCACAAAAAAACCUCUAUCCAGCAGCACUUGCCUGGGGUAUGGAGCCACGGCAGGGUGGUGCCUGCACCACCUUCCUUGCUUCAAGCCACACUCAGCAGGAAAGCUGAAAUGUCGUGAUCAGAGCUCACAGGAUGGGGUGGUGGAGAAUUUCAUUCCCUCUCUCCACAAAGCCCAGGCCAGCCGGUGAACGUGAGCCAACGCCACUCAGCAAAGCCACCCCUGGCCCCCCGCCAGCUACUCCUGAUGAAUGAGCUGCGACACACUCAAAGGUGCAUCCAACGCAGUUGCCUUGGUGUCACUCCACAGCAUUUCUGUCCUUGGCCCUUUGAAUGUGGAACGACUUUCCCACAGGUGGCUACUAUGUUCUAAUACUCAUGUCUACAGAGGAGUCCAAACACUGAAACUGGAGUUAUGUGAGAUGGUACAUGUGCAAGAGAGGAUGGAAAAGACUUGUAGUGGAGAAGUUUCAAGUGGAGGAUUGAUGGCCUGUGAUCGUGAAGCCAAAUCACUCGCUAUACUUGCUUUGCACUACACGAUUUCCUGCUGUUGUUUCUAGUUACAGUAGAUAAUAAAAAAUGUUACAAAACCCUCUUAACA
rnacentral:lncRNA from 1 species